rnacentral:rRNA from 1 species
GCGGCAGGCUUAACACAUGCAAGUCGAGCGGUAACAUGAGAGCUUGCUUCUCGCUGACGAGCGGCGGACGGGUGAGUAAUACUUAGGAAUCUACCUAGUAGUGGGGGAUAGCUCGGGGAAACUCGAAUUAAUACCGCAUACGACCUACGGGAGAAAGGGGGCAACUUGUUGCUCUCGCUAUUAGAUGAGCCUAAGUCGGAUUAGCUAGAUGGUGGGGUAAAGGCCUACCAUGGCGACGAUCUGUAGCUGGUCUGAGAGGAUGAUCAGCCACACCGGGACUGAGACACGGCCCGGACUCCUACGGGAGGCAGCAGUGGGGAAUAUUGGACAAUGGGGGCAACCCUGAUCCAGCCAUGCCGCGUGUGUGAAGAAGGCCUUUUGGUUGUAAAGCACUUUAAGCAGUGAAGAAGACUCCAUGGUUAAUACCCAUGGACGAUGACAUUAGCUGCAGAAUAAGCACCGGCUAACUCUGUGCCAGCAGCCGCGGUAAUACAGAGGGUGCAAGCGUUAAUCGGAAUUACUGGGCGUAAAGCGAGCGUAGGUGGCUUGAUAAGUCAGAUGUGAAAGCCCCGGGCUUAACCUGGGAACGGCAUCUGAUACUGUUAGGCUAGAGUAGGUGAGAGGAAGGUAGAAUUCCAGGUGUAGCGGUGAAAUGCGUAGAGAUCUGGAGGAAUACCGAUGGCGAAGGCAGCCUUCUGGCAUCAUACUGACACUGAGGUUCGAAAGCGUGGGUAGCAAACAGGAUUAGAUACCCUGGUAGUCCACGCCGUAAACGAUGUCUACUAGCGUUUGGGUCCCUUGAGGACUUAGUGACGCAGCUAACGCAAUAAGUAGACCGCCUGGGGAGUACGGCCGCAAGGUUAAAACUCAAAUGAAUUGACGGGGGCCCGCACAAGCGGUGGAGCAUGUGGUUUAAUUCGAUG